rnacentral:rRNA from 1 species
AAGCAAUUGGAGGGCUAGGCCUGGUGCCAGCAGCCGCGGUAAUUCCAGCUUCAAGGGUGUCUGUGGUGUGUGUUGUAUUUAAAAGGUCCGUAGUCGGGGGAGACGGCCGUGGGGAAAGCAGGCAGUUCAAGAGGAGCGCGAUGCACGGAAGGAGCGAAGUCAAGAGGGGCGGCGCGAGGGCGGRAAGAUUUGGCAGCCAGAGGUGAAAUUCAAAGACUUGCCGAGGAUGGACAGAGGCGAAGGCGCCUGCCAGGGACGCUUUCAUUGAUCAGGGACGAAGGCCGGAGAAGCGAAGAUGAUUAGAGACCGUUGUAGUUCCGGCGGUAAACGAUGCCAACACGGGGGCGUGCGCGCAGGGGCGAGCAGGUGCCCGGAGAGAAAUCGAGUGCGAGGGCUAUAGGGGAAGUAUUGCCGCAAGGUUGGAACUUAAACGAAAUUGACGGAUUAACACACAAGGAGUGGGGCGUGCGGCUUAAUUAGACUCAACACUAGGCAGCUUACCAGCGGAGGAGUCCGGGAGGAUCGGGGCGAGAUUCGGGCGAGAGUGGUGCAUGGCCGCUGUUAGCACGUGGGGUGACCUGUCUGGUUGAAUCCGAUAACGUGCGCGAUCCGCGUGUGCUUUGCAGGGCAGAGGACAGACGGCCGGCGGGUAGCCGGAGGAGGGCGGGCGAUAGCAGGUCUGUGAUGCCCUUGGAAGCGCUGGGCUGCACGCGCGUCACAGUGCGCGCAGGAAGGAGUGCCGAGAGGCGCAGGAGGAGCGGCGCGCAGGGGAUGCCCGUGCGGAACCGCGGGCUGAACACGGAAUUUCCAGUACCCGCGGGUCACCAGCCCGCGGAGACAGCGUCCCUGUUUUUUGUACACACCGCCCGUCGCUAUCUGAGAUGGGUGCGCGCGGCAAGCGCGUGCGC